rnacentral:lncRNA from 1 species
UUUUUAAAUGGGCUCUUUGGUGUGAUUCGACCUCAGAAACUGAAGCAAAGCAUUCUUACCGAGACCUUUAACUGCUUUCUGAUGAUUCAGUCAUCUGGUUUCUUUCAAGAUAAUUGCAAUCAAACCAUUAAUUGCCAAUUCAAAUCAAACCAGAUAAUGUUCAAUGGCUCUUUUUUUCCCCCUCACGCUUGUCCAAAUAUUUUAUUCCCCCCAUUGGUCAAGGAACAAAUUCCUUUGGUACACGUUAGCAGGAGCUUUGAGAUAAGAACAGAAAGAAGAUGAGAACUGAAGGAAUACAAACAAGCUCACAAGUAACGUAUGAGAUUCAUUUACAUAAAUCUAUUCACAAAUAAGAUAGUAUAUAAGUUAUCUAGCAUGCUUCAAAAGUGCAUUCAAAGAGCUAGGGUUGUGGCUCAGGUGUAGAGCACUCACCUAGCUUAUGUGAAGCACUGUGUUUGAUCCUCAGCACUACAUAAAAUAAAUAAAGAAAGAAAGAAAAUUGUGUCCAUCUACAACUAAAAAAUAAAAACUUUUAAAAAAGUGCAUUCAGAACUACAGAGGGGCAAAAUCAAUAUGUGCUACAGUAAUGGGACAGUUUGAUAAAGUUGGGAUUUGGCCCUUGAAAACUAUCACACUAUAUCAAUAGGGAGUACAAGCAAUGUGAGUAAAAGCAGAGAAGCAGAAAUAUUAGUAACAAUUACAGUGGGUCCUAUGUAUUGUGCACCUAUUAGAGGUCUUGUACUAUGCCAAGACCUUCACAUUUAUUAAUAUGAUCCCUACACAAGCCUGGGACUAUGAGGUAGGUAUCUUACAAAUGAGAGAACUCAGUCUUAGAGAGGUACUCAAUGAACUUUCUAUUAGCGCUUCACCCACGAAUAGGAAAUUGGGGGCAGUUGAGAAGAUACCACUCUAGGAAGUGGAAGGUAGUGGGCCAGGUAGAUUGACGAGGCUGAAUUAGGGAGACACCGACUACUGAACAGGAAUGCUGGGCUGGACCUGUUACAGAUUUUUCAGUGUAUUAGUGUAGUGUGACAAACUUUGGAGUUGGACAAGAUCUGUGUCUAUGGUCAUGUUGCAUGUCAGCUGUGG